CCAUUUUUAGUUAAAAGAUUUAGCAUGUAUGAAUUGUGGUUCAACACCAAUAAUGCCAGCCAGUUCAGCUUGUAUGAUCUUCCCGGUUAAUACUAAGCCAUUUAUAUGAGGCCCACAUACUCCUUUGUGCAUUUCUUCCAUUACAACUUGAGCUUUUGUUUUAGUCACACAUCGGAGCUGUACACCCAAAACCAUUCUUUUAUAUAAGACUCCCUCAUGGCUGAUGUAAUUUCUGGCUUGAAUCCA
rnacentral:lncRNA from 1 species